rnacentral:rRNA from 1 species
UACGUAGGGGGCGAGCGUUGUCCGGAAUCAUUGGGCGUAAAGCGCGUGUAGGCGGCUCGGCAAGUCGGGUGUGAAAGCCCUGGGCUUAACCUAGGAAGUGCACUCGAAACUGCCAAGCUUGAGUUCUGGAGAGGAAGGCGGAAUUCUCGGUGUAGAGGUGAAAUUCGUAGAUAUCGAGAGGAACACCGGUGGCGAAGGCGGCCUUCUGGACAGCAACUGACGCUGAGACGCGAAAGCGUGGGGAGCAAACAGG